GCACCCGUAGUCUAAUUGGAUAAAACAGAGGCCUCCGACGCCUCCGUUGCGAGUUCGAGCCUCGCCGGAUGCACCA
rnacentral:tRNA from 1 species